GCCGCCGUAACUCAGUGGAUAGAGUACCUUCCUCCUAAGAAGGGAGUCGCACGUUCGAUUCGUGUCGGCGGCGCCA
rnacentral:tRNA from 1 species